rnacentral:pre_miRNA from 2 species
AGAUGAAUCACCUGGGGAUCUUGUUAAAAUGCAGAUUCUGAUUCAGUAGGUCUGGAGUGGGGCCUGAGAAUUGAGUUUCUAUUUCUAACAAGCUCCUAGGUGAUGCCAUU